rnacentral:rRNA from 1 species
AACGCUAGCUACAGGCUUAACACAUGCAAGUCGAGGGGAAACGACAUCGAAAGCUUGCUUUUGAUGGGCGUCGACCGGCGCACGGGUGAGUAACGCGUAUCCAACCUGCCCAUCACUUGGGGAUAACCUUGCGAAAGUAAGACUAAUACCCAAUGAUAUCUCUAGAAGACAUCUGAAGGAGAUUAAAGAUUUAUCGGUGAUGGAUGGGGAUGCGUCUGAUUAGCUUGUUGGCGGGGUAACGGCCCACCAAGGCGACGAUCAGUAGGGGUUCUGAGAGGAAGGUCCCCCACAUUGGAACUGAGACACGGUCCAAACUCCUACGGGAGGCAGCAGUGGGGAAUAUUGGUCAAUGGGCGAGAGCCUGAACCAGCCAAGUAGCGUGCAGGAUGACGGCCCUAUGGGUUGUAAACUGCUUUUGUGCGGGAAUAAAGCGGGUCACGUGUGGCCCUUUGCAUGUACCGUACGAAUAAGGACCGGCUAAUUCCGUGCCAGCAGCCGCGGUAAUACGGAAGGUCCGGGCGUUAUCCGGAUUUAUUGGGUUUAAAGGGAGCGUAGGCCGUCUCAAAAGCGUGUUGUGAAAUGUCCGGGCUCAACCGGGGCCGUGCAGCGCGAACUGUGAGACUUGAGUGUGCGGAAGGUAUGCGGAAUUCGUGGUGUAGCGGUGAAAUGCAUAGAUAUCACGAAGAACUCCGAUUG